AAACUUUUCAGUUCAACCUCUAUCCUAUUGUUAGUGUUGUAUAAGGCACAGCUUUUCAAUGUAUUAAGAACAUAUCUCCAGGAAUGUGUAGAUUAGGUGAUGGCAGUACUGAAGGUCCAAAAUUUUGGUGGGAAUUGACCAGAAGAGUUCAGGCUCUGUGUUGAAAUGGAGUUUUGGGAUCACUGCAAAGACGCUGGCGAGCUGCUUUGUGACAAGGUCAAGGUCCAUCUCGGAAAAAAGGAAAAAUUGAAUGUCUCCAAUCUC